rnacentral:rRNA from 1 species
UACGGAGGGUGCGAGCGUUGUCCGGAAUCACCGGGCGUAAAGGGCGCGUAGGCGGCAUGCCAAGCGUGUGGUGAAAGCCCGGGGCUCAACCCCGGGUCGGCCGUGCGGACUGGCGUGCUCGAGCACUGUAGGGGCGGGUGGAAUUCCGGGUGUAGCGGUGGAAUGCGUAGAGAUCCGGAAGAACACCGGUGGCGAAGGCGGCCCGCUGGGCAGGAAGGCUCGCAAGAGCCGGCUGACGCUGAGGCGCGACAGCGUGGGGAGCAAACAGG